rnacentral:rRNA from 1 species
AGGACGAACGCUGGCGGCGUGCUUAACACAUGCAAGUCGAGCGGAAAGGCCCUUCGGGGUACUCGAGCGGCGAACGGGUGAGUAACACGUGAGCAACCUGCCCUUAGCUCUGGGAUAGCUCCGGGAAACCGGAAUUAAUACCGGAUAUUACACCGGCUGGCAUCGGCUGGUGUGGAAAGAUUUAUCGGCUAAGGAUGGACUCGCAGCCUAUCAGCUUGUUGGUGGGGUAGAAGCCUACCAAGGCGACGACGGGUA